UUUAACGUCAACGCUGAAAUUUCUUAAUUUUUUAAAACUUUUCUGAUGGAAAUUGGCCCCUUAAAAAUAAAUCUUAAAUGGAAAUAGUUUUUGUUGUUCUUGGAAUCUACUUUCCACUAUAUGCUUUAAUUUGGGCUUAACGCGAUUUUAUAAAGAUAUUUUAUUGGAUUUGUUAUAUCAAUAAAACUGUUUUUUGGUUUAAUCAACUGCUCCUAUCUGUUACCAAAUAAAUACUAAAUAAAAAUUAAUUUAAUUUAUAAUUUAUUUUUACAGGCGGAUUUUCAUCAGAGAAAUUGUGAACAUUUUGGGAGUUUAACUUACGUCAAAUUCCAAAGGCAUGGACCAUGGUUUAAGAUGGGGACUAUUUUUUAGCGAUGCCAUCAUGUAUUGAGAGUGUGUUUCAGCGAAAGUAUUUAAGAUAUGUCCAAUGGGCAAUAUAAUUUGUCAGCAAACAUCAGACUUUUGUAUUCUAAGCGGAAACUGUAGGUGAUGUAAAAAAAGUAUGUAUGGGACUUUUACUCAGUAGCACUUAAAUAUCUUGGAAAACUAGAAAUGGUUCGUGGAAAUUUCAAUUCGAGGCUUAAUUUUGUGGUCUGUGUAAUUUCAACUUCAGAACGCUUUAUUUGACUUUUAUCUGUACAGGAGACAUAGUAUUUGGCACUCUGCUAAAAUAAACUUACGCUGCGCAAGAAGCUUAAGAAUAUACAUGCCAAAAGCCAACUUUCAAGCUUUUAUAGUUUCAGAUAUUUCAGCGUUCAUACGGACAGAUAUUAAAUAAAUAGAGACGUACACUGAAAUAUCCAGAUAUCGUUAAUUCGGAAACUCAAUGGUCGUUGACAAGUACAAGGUUUCUGAAGCUAGCACGAGAUAGAGUAAAGGAAAAUUACAGCCUCAAAGUGCUAAACGAAUUGAAAAAGGAUUUAAUUGACGACGAUCUACUUAAUAUUGGAACUCGUACAAUUUUACAUGCCACCCUAAAAGCAAAAGCUCGUAAAGUGGUUACAAAGGCGAAAAAUAAGAAACUAACAAUUCAAGACGCCCGACAAAGCUUUUAUUUUCACCUUGCAUCAUCCGCCGAGAUGUAGACUAGAGCUGGGAAACUAUAGAUGGCACUAUCCACGUAUCGAAUGUUUAACUUUCUCGGCCACCAUCGAUAGUUUAUAGUCGCUAUCGAUGGUGCUGGAUUAGCGUUAAUUGGACGUUGGUUAUGGCUCUAAGCAUUGAUAAAUAUAUAGUGAAUUUGAAAAGAAAA